UGAGUUUGAUCAUGGCUCAGAUUGAACGCUGGCGGCAGCCCUAACACAUCCAAGUCGAGCGGAUGAAAGGAGCUUGCUCUUGGAAAGAGCGGCGGACGGGUGAGUAAUGCCUAGGAAUCUGCCUGGUAGUGGGGGACAACGUUUCGAAAGGAACGCUAAUACCGCAUACGUCCUACGGGAGAAAGCAGGGGACCUUCGGGCCUUGCGCUAUCAGAUGAGCCUAGGUCGGAUUAGCUAGUUGGUGAGGUAAUGGCUCACCAAGGCGACGAUCCGUAACUCGUCUGAGAGGAUGAUCAGUCACACUGGAACUGAGACACGGUCCAGACUCCUACGGGAGGCAGCAGUGGGGAAUAUUGGACAAUGGGCGAAAGCCUGAUCGAGCCAUGCCGCGUGUGUGAAGAAGGUCAACGGAUUGUAAAGCACUUUAAGUUGGGAGGAAGGGUUGUAGAUUAAUACUCUGCAAUUUUGACGUUACCGACAGAAUAAGCACCGGCUAACUCUGUGCCUGCAGCCGCGGUAAUACAGAGGGUGCAAGCGUUAAUCGGAUUUACUGGCCGUAAAGCGCGCGUAGGUGGUUUGUUAAGUUGGAUGUGAAUUCCCCGGGCUCUACCUGGGAACUGCAUCCAAAACUGGCAAGCUAGAGUAUGGUAGAGGGUGGUGGAAUUUCCUGUGUAGCGGUGAAAUGCGUAGAUAUAGGAUGGAACACCAGUGGCGAAUGCGACCACCUGGACUGAUACUGACACUGACGUGCGAAAGCGUGGGGAGCAAACAGGAUUAGAUACCCUGGUAGUCCACGCCGUAAACGAUGUCAACUAGCCGA
rnacentral:rRNA from 1 species